UGUGGGAGCUGGCUUGCCUGCGAUAGCGGUGUGCCAGGCAACUGAUCUUUCACUGACAGACCGCUAUCGCAGGCAAGCCAGCUCCCACA
rnacentral:misc_RNA from 1 species